CCUGUCCCCGGCCCGGCCCGCCCCCCACAGAGCGCCCAGCCGGGGGUCCCCGCCGAAGGAGCUCCUUCCGCGGCCCCUCAGCUGGAGCUCGUCCCGCUCCUGCUCGGUGCGGGCUCAGGGUUACGGUCACUGGCGUCAUUAAAACUCAACAGUGCGGCCACAGACCCGACUGUAACCACAGAGCGUCGUUUUAACACAAGCCGAAGCAAAGAGCUCACUACUUUCUUCUAAUUCACCUUUCGAAUACGGCCUCCCUCAACGAAAGCCUGCUUUACAAUUACAGUGUGAUUGACGAACUACUGUUUGAAUAUAACUCAUCACACAUUUCAUAUUUUGUACUUAGUAUGUAUUACAUGUAAGUUGUUUAAAGACACAUGAACGUCAGUGAACUGUCCCUGGCAUCUGAAGCUAAGCACAGACCUGGGAUAAAAUGAAGCACUGAGAGUUUAGACCAGGUUUGUAGCUUUUCUGCAUAAUGUCAGCUCAUUGUACAAUUCUUCAUAGCAUUGUGUGUGGGGAAAAAAAUGAAUACAAAAAGUUGGUUUUGGAAGAAGCAGCAGGAGGGUGCAGUCAGAAGCCUGGCUUCUUAGAGUGAACCGGUGCCAGAAGCUUCUACUGGCACAAUGGAUGGGGUCGAUCAAGGACAGGCAAAGUGUCUGGAUACUUCUUCAGCAGCAGUGCCAGCCAGUGGCAGCUUAAGCCGCCAAUGAAGUUGGACUUGAAUCUUAUGUAAAGUGGGACCUCACAGGUCUGUAAUUUAGGUAUGAUUCCAGAUCUGCAAAGUUUAUGGGCUCUUAAAUCCAAUCUGUUUCAAAUCCAUACAGGAACCUCCAUGAAGUAUGUAUACAUGUGUGUAUGUGGGGGAGAGGGAUUGGAACAUGGGCAAGAGAAGUAGGACUGGGAAACUACUAAGUAACAGCUCUGUCCGUAUCCUGUGGAAACUGUGUGAUGGAGUUGUUGUUCAGGAGGCAAAAGUCCAUAUUCAGGGCUCUGACAGGCAGACACAAAGAACCUGGGGCAGCAUACAGAAUUUGCCAGGAAAGCAGGGAAGAGACACAAGCAGAAAGCAGUUUUCUCGUUGUUUCAUCACAGCACAAUUCCUGUUUGUUCUUUGUUUCCCUUUUAUGGCACAUUCCAAAAUGACUACUUUAAAGCGUUCCUUGGGAUCUCAUCCCUGAGCUGAGUUCUGUUUAAUGACAGAGGUAAUGUAAUAUUGUAACUGUUCUGCUUAACAUAAAUUGGAAGUCAGGCCAAAGAAACAAGAGAAAGUUACUGCAAAUUGAUCUUCAUAGUGAAUCUGAGCAUGUGACGUUUCCUUAAAAUAGUUACAUGCAUUAAAUUCUUGCAGUAGGGAGUUAGUGUCUGCCUCAACCUCCCUGCCACAUGUCCCUGGCCAGCUCAGGAAAUGUCUCCUUCUGUAGCCUGUGAUUAUGUGCAAGUGCUUCUUUCCAGAAAUGCAGAAUGUGAGUUUAGUAACUCUAAAGAACCAGAAGACCCUCUGCAAUGACAGUUGGUCUUAGGAACAUUUGAGCACACGUAGUUCUGUAAAAUAUUACAAGCAGAACUGUUCAACAAACUUCUGCAAACAAAUCAAUACAAAGUAGACAGAUCUAUAGAUCAAUUGGCUUAUCAAAUGUACAUGUUAACACAAACACAUGACCUUGGCAUUAUUUGCCUUAUGACAACC